GGUUGACCUCGGAUCAGGUAGGGAUACCCGCUGAACUUAAGCAUAUCAAUAAGCGGAGGAAAAGAAACCAACAGGGAUUGCCUCAGUAACGGCGAGUGAAGCGGCAACAGCUCAAAUUUGAAAUCUGGCCCUCGCAGGGUCCGAGUUGUAAUUUGUAGAGGAUGCUUCGGGUUCGGCUCCGGUCUAAGUUCCUUGGAACAGGACGUCACAGAGGGUGAGAAUCCCGUACGUGACCGGCCGCCACGCCCGUGUGAAGCUCCUUCGACGAGUCGAGUUGUUUGGGAAUGCAGCUCCAAAUGGGUGGUAAAUUUCAUCUAAAGCUAAAUACUGGCCAGAGACCGAUAGCGCACAAGUAGAGUGAUCGAAAGAUGAAAAGCACUUUGGAAAGAGAGUUAAAAAGUACGUGAAAUUGUUGAAAGGGAAGCGCUUGCAACCAGACUUGCCCGCGGGUGAUCAGCCGGUAUUCUUACCGGUGCACUCGCCCGUGGUCAGGCCAGCAUCGGUUUGGGCGGCUGGACAAAGGCCUCCGGAAUGUAGCUCU
rnacentral:sRNA from 1 species